AUUCCCGCUCCAGAAGCGUAUGCUAAUGUUGUUGCAGUUAAAAAGCUCGUAGUUGAAAGUCUGGCAGUGUUGACCGGUCCUUUGCGUGUAUUCGCAUAGCUGUCUGCGUCGGCACAGUCAUCCUGCUGGUUUCGGCCAGCUCGUUUACUGUAAUUAAAAUAGCGUGUUCAAAGCAAGUCGUAGACUUGAAUAUCCUGUGCGGAAUAAUAAAAUAGGACUUUUGUACUAUUUUGUUGGUUUGUAUACAAAAGUAAUGGUUAAUAGGGACAGUUGGGGAUAUUCGUAUUAGCAAGCUAGAGGUGAAAUUCUCGGAUUUUAUUAAGACGAACUACUGCGAAAGCAUUCAUCAAGGAUGUUUUCAUUAA
rnacentral:rRNA from 1 species